CUGAGGAUUUCCUGUCUCUGGAAGGAUUUUCUUCUCUCUCUUUCUGACCAAAGCAGAGAGAGGAGGAGAAGGACAGAUAGUAAGAGGAGAGGAAAACAGGAGAAGGAAGAGCGACAGUGGGCCGGGAGUGACCUUCGUGGUGUGGUGGCAAAGCAGAGGAGGAGGAACGGGACUAAGCGGAGGAUCCAUCAGGUGCAUUUUCCCUCUUUGAGGAGCAGUGAUAUGGACACCAGGUGUGGUGACGCUGAGGGACCUUCUUUAAGGACGAAUGGAGGAUUCAAUCACCUGCUCACAGGUCAUUUGUGCUUCUUGAUCGAAUUGCACUGAGCAUCUAGCACAGAGACACUUUACUGGACUGGUGGACACAUACACACAGACACACCCAUGUGUGUGUAUAUAUAUAUAUAUAUGUGUAUAUAUGUGUAUAUAUGUAUAUAUAUAUAUAUAUAUAUAUAUAUCAAUAAGGACAUAGCCAAAGGGUAAAUUAUUUUUUUCAAUAUAAUGGUGCAUUUCAUGGCUCCCUUACCCCUAG
rnacentral:lncRNA from 1 species